rnacentral:rRNA from 1 species
AGUUAUAUGCUUGUCUCAAAGAUUAAGCCAUGCAUGUCUAAGUACACACUCUUGCAUAGUGAAACCGCAAAAGGCUCAGUAUAUCAGUUAUGGUUUAUUAGAUCGUGCUCAUAGUUACAUGGAUAACUGUGGUAAUUCUAGAGCUAAUACAUGCAAAUUAUCAAGUGCCGCAAGGUUCUUGUGCUUUUAUUAGUUUAAAACCAAUCAACACAUCAAGGUGUACCUUCACGGGUAUGCUGUGUUGUUAUUAAGGUGAUUCUGGAUAACAUGCAGAUCGCAUGGUCUUGUACCGGCGAUGGGUCUUUCAAAUGUCUGCCCUAUCAACUAUUGAUGGUAGUAUCUAGGACUACCAUGGUUGCAACGGGUAACGGGGAAUCAGGGUUCGAUUCCGGAGAGGGAGCCUGAGAAACGGCUACCACAUCUAAGGAAGGCAGCAGGCGCGUAAAUUACCCAAUCCCAGCACGGGGAGGUAGUGACGAAAAAUAACGAUACAGGACUCAAUCCGAGGCCCUGUAAUUGGAAUGAGUACACUUUAAAUCCUUUAACAAGGAACAAUUGGAGGGCAAGUCUGGUGCCAGCAGCCGCGGUAAUUCCAGCUCCAAUAGCGUAUAUUAAAGUUGUUGCGGUUAAAACGUUCGUAGUUGAACUUGUGUCAGGCACAGGUCGUACACCUUAAUGGUUUUGUACAUUUCCUGGUAUGCUAUGACGUAUUACUGAAGUGGUCAUAUUGCUUAUAGUUAUCGUUUGAGUAUAGUUUCGGCUAGAAAGGUGAUUAUUUGUUGGUAUACCACACUUAUAAAUCUAUAUGAGUGCUCUUAAUCGGGUGCUUAUAUGGAACAGUACUAUUACUUUGAACAAAUUAGAGUGCUUAAAGCAGGCCGUUUGUGCCUAAAUAUUCUGUGCAUGGAAUAAUGGAAUAGGACGUCUGUUCUAUUUUCAAUUGGUUUUGAGAUCAAGACG